CAUAGAGACAGCUAAGCAGAAGGUGGAGAGGGACAAUCAGCUUCGGAAGGCGGGAGUGAAAGUUUUGAAGAAACAGAAGAUAAUAAUUGAGCUUCAAAAGAAGUUCAAGCAGUUGCUGAACCUCAACCAAAGUCUGCCAGAGUGUGUUCGCCUGAGUCAUGAGGUACACAUACUGCCGAAAAAGUAACGCGCCUGAAAGCAUCAUUUGCAAUGUACUCGAAUAAAUCAGAUUGCGUGUCACUACCCUGGUAAAGAUAUAUAUGCAGCGAGACACCACAAAUAGUACUAGCAGAUGAAAAAGAGGCAGUAACCAGUACAUCAAGAGGAUGUGUUUCAAACCAGUGACGGCAGGAUACUAUUUGUGGGAAGACCGAAUUAGAUGUAUAUAUAUAUAUACUGUAUAUAUAUAUAUAUAUAUAAAACCUCACCUUCAGCAGCAAAUGCAGUCAAUCCUAUCAACUUCCUCUAUUAACUGACUACAUGUGAUCAAAAAUACAAACAAAACAAACAAAAAUCUUUUAAGACCCUAUAUUCUGUGCAUGCUUGUGUGUGUGUGUGUGUGUGUGUGUGUGUGUGUGUGUGUGUGAGACCAGGCUUUGCACCAUGAUCAACAUUUCAGUGAGCAGGCAGAGAGAGUGAUGGCUCAGCGUGUGGAAGAAGUCAAAGAGCAAAUGAGCUGGGAGUUUGAGCACUGCAGCCUUGGACUCAAGAAACUUCAGGACCGGUACUCAGCUCUCUCGCACACACACACACACACACACACACAAUCAUAUAGACACACAAUGGAAUUUCCCUUUAUCAUAGAAGGAUUUUUUUCCCAGCUUCAGAGACUCUCUCUCCCCUGUGGUCACUGUCGGGGCUAUCUGCACCAAUCGCAAAAUCUUCACCUUCUGUAUGCCAGAGCUUGUUGAUCCUUCACUACGACUCAGAGCAAACAGCAGUGCAGCUCCACCGGAUGAAGAUGAGGAUGCUGAUGCUGCUGCAGCAGCAGAAUAUGGAAAGCCCAAAACGGAGCGGCCUAAGGACAGAGCUGAAUUGGAAGAUAUUGUGCUGCAUCCUCGGGUUGCUCGUCCAGCAGGCAUAAAAUUGGCUGACAGGCAGGUGGAGAGGCUACAAAAGGCUGCAGAGAAAGCUGAGCAAGCUCAAGCUAAGAUAGAAAAGAGGAGACAGGAAUGGGCCCAGCUGUGAGUGUUGUGUUGCACAUCAUUAUUUCUGGAGUCAUGUGGUUUCUUUAGUGGCUAUAUUCUUUCAUGCAUGUUUGAGUCCAUUUAUAAUGCUGUUGCCUAUGAGGAGGGGCUACAAUGAACUGUUAACAUAAUCUUUGACCGUUGUGACACUGAUGUUGAUACAUUG
rnacentral:lncRNA from 1 species